UCUUCCGCAAUGGACGAAAGCCUGACGGAGCAACGCCGCGCGAGUGAUGAAGGUUUUCGGAUCGUAAAACUCUGUUGAUAGGGAAGAACAAGUACUGGUCGAAUAGGGCGGCACCUUGACGGUACCUAACCAGAAAGCAACGGCUACUUACGUUCCAGCAGCCGCGGUAAUACGUAGGUGGCAAGCGUUGUCCGGAAUUAUUGGGCGUAAAGCGCGCGCAGGCGGUUUCUUAAGUCUGAUGUGAAAGCCCCCGGCUCAACCGGGGAGGGUCAUUGGAAACUGGGGAACUUGAGUGCAGAAGAGGAGAGUGGAAUUCCACGUGUAGCGGUGAAAUGCGUAGAGAUGUGGAGGAACACCAGUGGCGAAGGCGACUCUCUGGUCUGUAACUGACGCUGAGGCGCGAAAGCGUGGGGAGCGAACAG
rnacentral:rRNA from 1 species